UACGUAGGGACCGAGCGUUGUCCGGAAUCAUUGGGCGUAAAGAGCGUGUAGGCAGCCACUUAAGUCUUGCGUGAAAUCUUGCGGCUCAACCGCAAGCGGUCGUGGGAAACUGGGUGGCUAGAGUGCGGGAGAGGAGAGUGGAAUUCCUGGUGUAGCGGUGGAAUGCGCAGAUAUCAGGAAGAACACCCGUGGCGAAGGCGGCUCUCUGGAACGCAACUGACGCUGAGACGCGAAAGCGUGGGGAGCAAACAGG
rnacentral:rRNA from 1 species